rnacentral:rRNA from 1 species
GUGCCUAACACAUGCAAGUCGAGCGAGAAAGUGGAGCAAUCCAUGAGUAAAGCGGCGCACGGGUAAGUAACACGUGACUAACCUACCCUCGAGUGGGGAAUAACUUCGGGAAACCGAGGCUAAUACCGCAUAAUACCCACGGGUCAAAGGAGAAAUCCGCUUGAGGAGGGGGUCGCGGCCGAUUAGUUAGUUGGCGGGGUAAUGGCCCACCAAGACGAUGAUCGGUAUCCGGCCUGAGAGGGCGCACGGACACACUGGAACUGAAACACGGUCCAG